UUUAGGUCAAGCUAAUAAGAGCGUAGGGUGGAUGCCUUGGCACUAAGAGCCGAAGAAAGACGUGAUAAGCUGCGAUAAGUGUUGGUGAGGAGCAAAU
rnacentral:rRNA from 1 species